UCUACGGGAGGCAGCAGUGGGGAAUAUUGCGCAAUGGGCGAAAGCCUGACGCAGCGACGCCGCGUGAGGGAUGAAGGUCUUCGGAUCGUAAACCUCUGUCAGCAGGGAAGAACGGUCACUGUGCUAAUCAGCAGUGAAUUGACGGUACCUGCAAAGGAAGCACCGGCUAACUCCGUGCCAGCAGCCGCGGUAAUAUGGAGGGUGCGAGCGUUAAUCGGAAUUACUGGGCGUAAAGCGCUCGUAGGCGGUAUUUCAAGUCAAGGGUGAAAUCCCCGCGCUCAACGUGGGAACGGCCUUUGAAACUGGCAAACUGGAGUGUGUGAGAGGAUAGUGGAAUUCCAGGUGUAGGAGUGAAAUCCGUAGAUAUCUGGAGGAACAUCAGUGGGGAAGGCGACUAUCUGGCACAUAACUGACGCUGAGGAGCGAAAGCGUGGGUAGCAAACAGGAUUAGAUACCCCAGUAGUC
rnacentral:rRNA from 1 species